rnacentral:rRNA from 1 species
CCUACGGGUGGCAGCAGUGGGGAAUAUUGGGCAAUGGGCGCAAGCCUGACCCAGCAACGCCGCGUGAAGGAAGAAGGCUUUCGGGUUGUAAACUUCUUUUAUCAGGGACGAAGCAAGUGACGGUACCUGAUGAAUAAGCCACGGCUAACUACGUGCCAGCAGCCGCGGUAAUACGUAGGUGGCAAGCUUUAUCCGGAUUUACUGGGUGUAAAGGGCGUGUAGGCGGGAAAGCAAGUCAGAUGUGAAAACCAUGGGCUCAACCUGUGGCCUGCAUUUGAAACUGUUUUUCUUGAGUACUGGAGAGGCAGACGGAAUUCCUAGGGUAGCGGUGAAAUGCGGAGAUAUUAGGAGGAACACCAGUGGCGAAGGCGGUCUGCUGGACAGCAACUGACGCUGAGGCGCGAAAGCGUGGGGAGCAAACAGGAUUAGAUACCCGAGUAGUC